rnacentral:rRNA from 1 species
UACAGAGGUCCCAAGCGUUGUUCGGAUUCAUUGGGCGUAAAGGGUGCGUAGGCGGCGCGGUAAGUCGGGUGUGAAAUCUCGGAGCUUAACUCCGAAACUGCAUUCGAUACUGCCGUGCUUGAGGACUGGAGAGGAGAUUGGAAUUCACGGUGUAGCAGUGAAAUGCGUAGAUAUCGUGAGGAAGACCAGUGGCGAAGGCGGAUCUCUGGACAGUUCCUGACGCUGAGGCGCGAAGGCCAGGGGAGCAAACGGG